rnacentral:rRNA from 1 species
CCUACGGGAGGCAGCAGUGAGGAAUAUUGGACAAUGGGCGCAAGCCUGAUCCAGCCAUGCCGCGUGCAGGAUGACGGUCCUAUGGAUUGUAAACUGCUUUUGUACAGGAAGAAACACUGGUUCGUGAACCAGCUUGACGGUACUGUAAGAAUAAGGAUCGGCUAACUCCGUGCCAGCAGCCGCGGUAAUACGGAGGAUCCAAGCGUUAUCCGGAAUCAUUGGGUUUAAAGGGUCCGUAGGCGGUUUAAUAAGUCAGUGGUGAAAGCCCAUCGCUCAACGGUGGAACGGCCAUUGAUACUGUUAGACUUGAAUUAUUAGGAAGUAACUAGAAUAUGUAGUGUAGCGGUGAAAUGCUUAGAGAUUACAUGGAAUACCAAUUGCGAAGGCAGGUUACUACUAAUUGAUUGACGCUGAUGGACGAAAGCGUGGGUAGCGAACAGGAUUAGAUACCCUGGUAGUCCACGCCGUAAACGAUGGAUACUAGCUGUUGGAAGCAAUUUCAGUGGCUAAGCGAAAAGUGAUAAAGUAUCCCACCUGGGGAGUACGUUCGCAAGAAUGAAACUCAAAAUGAAAUUGACGG